GCCUGGGUGGCUCAGUUGGUUGAGCGUCCGACUUUAGCUUGGGUCAUGAUCUUGCGGUCUGUGAGUUCGAGCCCCAUAUUGGGCU
rfam:Felis catus isolate Cinnamon breed Abyssinian chromosome A2, whole genome shotgun sequence.